rnacentral:misc_RNA from 1 species
GAAAUGCGAUAAGUAAUGUGAAUUGCUGAAUUCAGUGAAUCAUCGAAUCUUUGAACGCACAUUGCGCCCGCCAGCACUCUGGCGGGCAUGCCUGUUCGAGCGUCAUUUCAACCCUCAGAACCCCUUGCGGGAUCUGGCGUUGGGGAUUGGCAUCCAGCCAGCCCCGAAAUCUAGUGGCGGUCCCUCCGCGACCUCCCCUGUGCAGUAGCGAUACCUCGCAGCGGGACAGCGGUCUGACCACGCCGUAAAACCCCCAACUUCUCAAGGUUGACCUCGAAUCAGGUAGGAAUACCCGCUGAACUUAAGC